GAAGAUACUCAAAGCACCAUAAACGUGGAAGCAGAGACUCUCCCAGCAGAUCUUCUCGUCACAGCAGUGAGAGAGAACGUUCAGAGAGCAAGAGAGAGAAACGGAGAUGAGGGGACUAAAGAAUUAUGCUUCUUCAAAACUCCAAUUCUCAUAAUUGGGGAGAUCCACAACAAAACCUCAAAUUGGAAAUAUUCAUAGGAGAAUCACCACUUAACCGGAAGAACAAUUUUUGCAGGGCAUUUUGGUUAGUGGCU
rnacentral:lncRNA from 1 species